rnacentral:rRNA from 1 species
AGUGAACGCUGGCGGUAGGCCUAACACAUGCAAGUCGAACGGCAGCACAGUAAGAGCUUGCUCUUACGGGUGGCGAGUGGCGGACGGGUGAGGAAUACAUCGGAAUCUACUUUUUCGUGGGGGAUAACGUAGGGAAACUUACGCUAAUACCGCAUACGAUCUACGGGUGAAAGCAGGGGAUCUUCGGACCUUGCGCGAUUGAAUGAGCCGAUGGCGGAUUAGCUAGUUGGCGGGGUAAAGGCCCACCAAGGCGACGAUCCGUAGCUGGACUGAGAGGAUGAUCAGCCACACUGGAACUGAGACACGGUCCAAACUCCUACGGGAGGCAGCAGUGGGGAAUAUUGGACAAUGGGCGCAAGCCUGAUCCAGCCAUACCGCGUGGGUGAAGAAGGCCUUCGGGUUGUAAAGCCCUGUUGUUAGAAAAGAAAAUCAGCAGGAUAAAACGCCGCUGUUCUGACGGUACCCAAAGAGUAAGCACCGGCUAACUUCGUG